rnacentral:rRNA from 1 species
GAUGAACGCUGGCGGCGUGCCUAAUACAUGCAAGUCGAGCGAACAGACGAGGAGCUUGCUCCUCUGACGUUAGCGGCGGACGGGUGAGUAACACGUGGAUAACCUCCCUAUAUGUCUGGGAUAACUUCGGGAAACCGGCGCUAAUACCGGAUAAUAUAUUGCACCGCAUGGUUCAAUGGUGAAAGACGGUUUUGCGGUCAGUUAUAGCUGGAUCCGAGCCGGAUUGGCUAGUUGGUAGGGUAACGGGUUACCAAGGGGACGAUGCGUGGCCGAGCGGAUGGGGUGGUCGGCCACACUGGAAGGGAGACACGGACCAGGCGCCUACGGUAGGCAGCAGUAGGGAAUCGUCCGCAAUGGGCGAAAGCCUUACGCAGCAACGGCGCGUGAGUGACGAAGGCCUUCGGAUCGUAAAACCCGGUUAUUAGGUAAGAACAGAUGUGUAAUUAAACAUGCCCGUCGUGACGGUACCGAAUCAAAAAGCCACGGCUAACUACGUG